rnacentral:piRNA from 1 species
UAAAGAUCUCAAAGUUACAUGCCC